AAGAAGAAUAAGGUUUAACCUAAUUGAUAACGACAUUACAUUAUCCCUUAUUACAUUAUCCCUUAUUACAUUAUCCCUUAGAGCUGUUUUGAAUGAGGUUUAACCUAAUUGAUAACGACAUUACAUUAUCCCUUAUUACAUUAUCCCUUAUUACAUUAUCCCUUAGAGCUGUUUUGAAUGAGGUUUGAAUGAGGUUUAACCUAAUUCAUAACGACAUUACAUUAUCCCUUAGAGCUGUUUUGAAUGAGGUUUGAAUGAGGUUUAACCUAAUUCAUAACGACAUUACAUUAUCCCUCAGAGCUGUUUUGUUGAAACACCAAUAGCAGCACAGUUGACAUUAGUCAUAUAGGAAUAAUAUACACUAUAUAAUAUGGCAUAUAUCCCCAAUACCCAUAGCAAUACAGAGCAUAUACAGCCAGGUACAAAAAGAUUAGCACCUUUGAUAAUGAUGAGCAACAAAGACUAUAAAAUAAUACAAAUAAUGAGCGAUAAAGUACAUGCUCAAUUAAAACACACACACACAUAUAUACACACACACACACACACACACACACACACACACACA
rnacentral:lncRNA from 1 species